GCCCGGUUAGCUCAAUCGGUAGAGCGCAAGACUCUUAAGCUUCAAAGGAAGUGGAUAGAUACUGGUCCUGUUACCAUAGCAAUCUUGAGGCUGCGGGUUCGACCCCCGCAUCGGGCU